rnacentral:lncRNA from 10 species
CAGCCGUUGACUCCCUCCACCCUUGCUUCCCUCUCAACCAUCUCACCUCCAUCUGUCCAGUGGAGCCAGAUGUCCCACCUUCUUGGGAGAAAUUAAUUGAGGCUCAUUUCCAGGACAGAGGGGCAAGCUGGGUCUGAGGAGCCAAGCAGAAAAACUUCCCAAAAUCACUGGGUGGGGAGGGGUCAGAGACUUACUGCUGCCCCAGCUGUUCUGACUCUGCCCCCAGCUUUUGGCCCCACCCUUUUAAAGCACCUUCAGAGGUUCCCAAUGGUGACAGUAAACAAGUCUCCACUGUCCUGGCCAUCUCUGCUGUGUUCACCCUACUCCUGAUCUUUCUGGCUGCUCAGGGACUGACAGCCAAGAUGUGAGGCUGUGAUGAGCAGGAACAGGGAGGCCUGGAGCCCCCAGACAGAUUUGCAAUGAUCAAGAGGCGUCCUGUGAAUGCAGUUUGCAAAGGACUUAGGCACACAGCAUCUCCUUUGUUCUCACCACAAGGCUGCCGGGUGUGCAGAUGUGAGGAUUAUUUCAAUGGUGAAGAAGCAUCCUGAGAGGUUACGUAGUUCAACUAAUGUCACACCAAGAGCAGGAGAGCAUCUGGGCAUUUGGACAUGGAAGGUGUGGGGCACAAGCAUCUCAUGGCCAGGGAACGGGGGAGGAGCAUCUCAGAGCUGCAUCAGAGUUCAUGCUGGUCCUAGGACAAGAGUCAAGCACACCCUGCUUUCACCAGCUGCUGGUAGCUUUCACUCAGGUAAUGCACAGCUGAACAGAACCCAGUUCUUUC